AAAAGCUGCAGCAAAAGCAAAAGGGGAGUUUUGCUUGUAGAAACACCACAGGUCUCUUGUCUGCUCUCGGAAUGUUUUUGAGAUAAACCAGAUUUUAAAAAACAAAGGGAAAAAAAAAAACCACAGCUGCUUCUUUUGCUCUCUUCCUACUUUCUUGUGCUUUGCCCCUCCCCUUUCCCAGGUGAUUGGGUUUGGGUGCUGGGCGGGGCCGAAUGGUAUAUGAGCCCCAGGCAUGCUAUCAGAGAGCUCCUUCUGCUUGGGCUGCUCUUUGGGAGGACUAAAACCAGCUUGAUUGAAUGCUACAUAUGGCUUGGCAGCGUAGAUGCAGCAUUACCAAGAGACUGAGCAGGGUUGUAUCAGAGUCACCUCUUUCAUCUGCAAAGGGGUCAAACAGUGUGUUUGCUGAGCGUGGUUAGAAUGAGGAGGUGGGGAGCUGCUCAGGACUGGAAGGUUUGGUUUCUAGGAGUAUGCGGCAUCCUUCCUGUGCGACGUGACUAAUUGUUGGGCUGGAACGUUCCAGCUUUUGUGUGUGUUGGGCAAUGUAGCUUGUGUAGUGUGUGUCGUGUGGUCUAGGCAGAGUUUGCUGUGGUGCAGUGGGCGAAGAAUCUCAGGUAGAGCUGGUGAGCAGCUGAAGUACCAGAGCUGGGAAGAGAGAG
rnacentral:lncRNA from 1 species